rnacentral:rRNA from 1 species
ACCCAGACUCCUACGGGAGGCAGCAGUGGGAAUAUUGGGCAAUGGGCGCAAGCCUGACCCAGCAACGCCGCGUGAAGGAAGAAGGCUUUCGGGUUGUAAACUUCUUUUAAGAGGGAAGAGUAGAAGACGGUACCUCUUGAAUAAGCCACGGCUAACUACGUGCCAGCAGCCGCGGUAAUACGUAGGUGGCAAGCGUUGUCCGGAUUUACUGGGUGUAAAGGGCGUGUAGCCGGGCCGGCAAGUCAGAUGUGAAAUCCCAAGGCUCAACCUUGGAACUGCAUUUGAAACUGUUGGUCUUGAGUAUCGGAGAGGCAGGCGGAAUUCCUAGUGUAGCGGUGAAAUGCGUAGAUAUUCGGAGGAACACCGGUGGCGAAGGCGGCCAACUGGGCUUUAACUGACGCUGAGGCUCGAAAGUGUGGGGAGCAAACAGGAUUAGAUACCCGCGUAAU